rnacentral:rRNA from 1 species
UACGUAGGGGGCUAGCGUUGUCCGGAUUUAUUGGGCGUAAAGAGCUCGUAGGCGGUUCGGUAAGUCGGGUGUGAAAUCUCCACGCUCAACGUGGAGGGGCCACCCGAUACUGCCAUGACUCGAGUCCGGUAGGGGAGUGUGGAAUUCCCGGUGUAGCGGUGAAAUGCGCAGAUAUCGGGAGGAACACCCGUAGCGAAGGCGGCACUCUGGGCCGGUACUGACGCUGAGGAGCGAAAGCGUGGGUAGCAAACAGG